GUGUGUUCUCCUACUUAAUAACCACCAAUUACCACCACUUGAUUAUAUGUACACAUAGACCCACUACUUUAGUGCAGGUUUGUCUUGCUCACUGUGGUAGAGCAUAAUUUUUCUGUGUAAUAAUGCUUAUUACCAUCAUUUGUAAUCUCGUUAAAAUAAUCCUUUAUGAUAACUCAUUGAUGCCAAAGUAUGUCUAGGUUGACUUUGCUCUCUUUGCUUGUAUAUUUUAGGGGCUAUCAAAUUUUUUAAAGUUUCUAUGUUUUCUAAGCUUAGUUUUGAUCCAAUUCAUACCAGCCAUCUAGGGGACUCGGGAACAAAAUUAAUCAAUAAAAGAAGUUAUAAAAUCAGCUUACACGUUAAAAUGAGUUCAUUGUGCCCUGUUUCAUUGUGUGUAGCAAAGGACAUGGUUUAAAAAGUUAACAUGUGUUGUUAAGCAUGCUUUUAUCUGUUAUCUACCUGUUUGGUUCUUUUACUGUAAAGCUAUUAGAUAAUUCUUAGUCCUUACCUGUUUCGUUUCCUUUUUUUUUUUUAUGGUUUUUCUUUUCUUUCAUGAUCCGGUUCUGAAUUUUGAUGGUUUCUCUGAUUCCUCUUCUGCUCCGCCGCAAGAGCUACUCUGAUUGUCCCUCAGGCGUGGACUAAGGCUCGACUACUAUGGGAUGUAGGCAAGGACUAAAGGUUGAUGAUGAUGGGAUGUAGACGGUGCUUUGGUGGUGAGGGCUAGAUCAGUGUAGGUGGUGGUCGACUGUGUCUUGUGCAAGGUCGGGGACAGACGGGGACUGAAGGGUGAGGAAUGGGUAAGAUUUUUUCUCACCUGUUUUUUUUUUUUUUUUUUUAAAGAAUUAGCAUAAAACAUGUGAACUAUUUUAUGUCUGGUUUAUGCUAGAGUUUCAAGGGGUAUUCAGUUGAAUCCUAUAUGUUGUUUUCUGACAUAAAUUUCUGAUUAGACCGCAUCCAGCAAUUUGGCGCUGAGUUCAUGGCAUGGCUGUUGUUUACCUUGUUGCCCUCACAUUUUUGCUUUUUCAGGUUAGCUUUUCUCUUUCCUAUCUGUAUAGUGAUCCUUUUUUCCAAAAAAUAAAAAUGAUUGGAGAGUUAAUAUUAUUGGAAAAGUAUGCUCUGAUUUUGGUGUUUUAGUUUUGAAUAUUUAAUGGAGAGUUACUAAGUUGUAGCAAGAAGUUGAAAAUUGGAUCAUAUUGUUUGGAGUAGAAAUACAUGUGUUUUAGUGUUUUUUUUCAUGUAUUAAUGCGAACAUGUAGUUUAGUGUUUUAGUGUUACUAAGUUGUAGCAAAAAGUAUGCCAUGCAUACACUCAACUUCAACAACAUAAUGGGAACAUGUAUUAAUUAUUAUGCAUAAUUUAUCUCACUGUCUAGUUUCCUAUGACAUGAAGUUUUAGGAUAGCUGGUCGCUUGAUAUGCUUUGAGACCUUGUUUAUGAUAUUCCUGUUUGGUUCUUUUACUGUAAAGCUAUUAGAUAAUUCUUAGUCCUUACCUUCCUAGUGACACAUUUCUAUUUAUGCUAUGAUGCAUUCCAAUUUUCUUACUUAAUUUAUAUCUGCACAUACCUUUUUUCUCUUGAUUUCCUUAUUGUAAACUUACCUGCCCCCCUCUCUUUCCCUACUUCCUUUGGGGUUUGAAAAAGCUAUCUUAAAAGUCAUCUUUUAAUUGUUAUGAUGUGUUUUAAUCUUUUCUUUUCUGGAAUUACUGAGCUUGUUUUUUUUCUUUUUUGUUUCUUGUUGUUUCCAGUUUUAUGGUGCAACAACAUUUUUCAUUCAUAGAUCAGACUUUAGUGUCUCCUUGAUUAUGCUUUAUAUGAAGGUAAGAGCUUAAUGGCUCUUUAGUGUCUUGUUUUGUUUUGUUUCAGUAUGGAGCUCUCAGAAGGAAAAUUGGAUUCCAAUGUGGCGGACCUCGAGAGAGAAUCUUACCCUGUUUUGGACGAACUGGGUAGAAAUAGAGGACGCUAACAUCUAUUCUCUUGACAGAUUAGUGGACAGUUAAAAUCCUUGCAAAUUGUUGCAAGCUUGACAACAGAAAGAGAUGGUGAAAUUAGAAAAGCUGCUUUGAAUACUCUUGCCACUAGAUAUAAGAUUCUUGGUGAGGAUAUAUGGAGGUAUGUUGGGAAGCUAACAGAUGCUCAGAAAAGCAUGCUGGAUGAUAGUUUAAAUGGAUGGUUCGAGAGAUGGAAAAAUGGAAGGAAGGGAAGCCUGGCGAAG